rnacentral:rRNA from 1 species
UAAUUGAAGAGUUUGAUCAUGGCUCAGAUUGAACGCUGGCGGCAGGCCUAACACAUGCAAGUCGAGCGGUAACAGGGGAAGCUUGCUUCUCGCUGACGAGCGGCGGACGGGUGAGUAAUGUAUGGGGAUCUGCCCGAUAGAGGGGGAUAACUACUGGAAACGGUAGCUAAUACCGCAUAAUCUCUCAGGAGCAAAGCAGGGGAACUUCGGUCCUUGCGCUAUCGGAUGAACCCAUAUGGGAUUAGCUAGUAGGUGAGGUAAUGGCUCACCUAGUAG